rnacentral:rRNA from 1 species
CAGCCGCCGCGGUAAUACGUAGGUGGCAAGCGUUGUCCGGAAUUAUUGGGCGUAAAGGGCUCGCAGGCGGUUUCUUAAGUCUGAUGUGAAAGCCCCCGGCUCAACCGGGGAGGGUCAUUGGAAACUGGGAAACUUGAGUGCAGAAGAGGAGAGUGGAAUUCCACGUGUAGCGGUGAAAUGCGUAGAGAUGUGGAGGAACACCAGUGGCGAAGGCGACUCUCUGGUCUGUAACUGACGCUGAGGAGCGAAAGCGUGGGGAGCGAACAGGAUUAGAGACCCGCGUAGUCCCUGUCUCUUAUAC